GGGUCGAUGCUCGAGUGGUUAAUGAGGAUGGUUUGUAAAACCAUUGGCUAUGCCUACACUGGUUCGAAUCCAGUUCGACCCA
rnacentral:tRNA from 1 species